ensembl:lncRNA
GGAAAAUAAAAAUAAGGUAAAAAAAACACACGAGAAAAAACUAAUACGGGUUUCCACAAAAAUCAUCCCAAAACGACCACUAUUUUCUUUAAAGCAAAAUGAUAUUUAUUUACAACGCAAGGCGCCAAACUAUUUACAACGGGGGGGGAAGAAGAUCGCGACCAUGACAACUGACACACAGGGCUUAAAUACAUGGAGGGAACAAUCAGGGAAUGGACAACAGGAGGGAAACACAGCUGGGGCAAAUCAGAACUGACGAGACAGGGAAAAUGUAAACUGAACACACUAAGAUGACACAGACUUUCAAAGUAAAGUAGGAAACACAUAACAGUCACGCAAAAACAACACAUUACCAACGCCAAAUCGUCAAUCCCGGAGGAGCACCUAGACACUCAAAUCCACACACAAUUACGGUCACAGCCGUAACACCCCCUUACCCAAGAAUUAACAUUAACCCCAAAAUGUUUAAUUCAAGGAAACACCCAAAAAAAACAAACAUUUAAAACAUACAACCCCAACGAAAAAUGUUUGUUCCAUGUCCAGCCCAUACGGCACCGGCCACCGUCCCGCAGGCGACGCUGAUGACUGGACGGGUCCUCCAGUGGAAACGGAAAACCGGAGCGGGCCCUCGGAUCCUCCAGCGAAGACAAACGAAGCCGAUGAAGGCUGGAGCGGUCCCUCGGACACUCCAGCGAAGGCGGAUGAAGGCUGGAGCGGUCCCACGGACCCUCCAGCAGACGACGAAGGCUGGAGCGGUCCCUCGGACCCUCCAGCGAAGGCAGA